AUUGAACGCUGGCGGCAUGCUUUACACAUGCAAGUCGAACGGCAGCGCGGGCUUCGGCCUGGCGGCGAGUGGCGAACGGGUGAGUAAUACAUCGGAACGUGCCCAGUAGUGGGGGAUAGCUCGGCGAAAGCCGGAUUAAUACCGCAUACGACCUGAGGGUGAAAGCGGGGGAUCUUCGGACCUCGCGCUAUUGGAGCGGCCGAUGGCAGAUUAGCUAGUUGGUGGGGUAAAGGCCUACCAAGGCGACGAUCUGUAGCUGGUCUGAGAGGACGACCAGCCACACUGGGACUGAGACACGGCCCAGACUCCUACGGGAGGCGGCAGUGGGGAAUUUUGGACAAUGGGGGAAAGCCUGAUCCAGCAAUGCCGCGUGUGUGAUGAAGGCCUUCGGGUUGUAAAGCACUUUUGGCGGGAACGAAAAGGACUGUGCCAAUACCACGGUUCGAUGACGGUACCCGCAGAAUAAGCACCGGCUAACUACGUG
rnacentral:rRNA from 1 species